rnacentral:rRNA from 1 species
AGAGUUUGAUCCUGGCUCAGGAUGAACGCUGGCGGCGUGCCUAACACAUGCAAGUCGAACGAAGCACUUUAUUACGAUUUCUUCGGAAUGACGAUUUGGUGACUGAGUGGCGGACGGGUGAGUAACGCGUGGAUAACCUGCCCCAUACAGGGGGAUAACAGUUAGAAAUGACUGCUAAUACCGCAUAAGCGCACAGUAUCGCAUGAUACGGUGUGAAAAACUCCGGUGGUAUGGGAUGGAUCCGCGUCUGAUUAGCCAGUUGGCGGGGUAGAGGCCCACCAAAGCGACGAUCAGUAGCCGACCUGAGAGGGUGACCGGCCACAUUGGGACUGAGACACGGCCCAAACUCCUACGGGAGGCAGCAGUGGGGAAUAUUGCACAAUGGGGGAAACCCUGAUGCAGCGACGCCGCGUGAGCGAAGAAGUAUUUCGGUAUGUAAAGCUCUAUCAGCAGGGAAGAAGAAUGACGGUACCUGACUAAGAAGC